rnacentral:rRNA from 1 species
AAGGGUAAUAUCCUUGGGCGUUGACGUUACCCACAGAAGAAGCACUGGCUAACUCUGUGCCAGCAGCCGCGGUAAUACAGAGAGUGCAAGCGUUAAUCGGAAUCACUGGGCGUAAAGCGCGCGUAGGUGGAUAUUUAAGUUGGAUGUGAAAGCCCUGGGCUUAACCUGGGAAUUGCACCCGAUACUGGGUAUCUUGAGUAUGGUAGAGGGAAGUGGAAUUUCCGGUGUAGCGGUGAAAUGCGUAGAUAUCGGAAAGAACACCAGUGGCGAAGGCGACUUCCUGGACCAAUACUGACACUGAGGCGCGAAAGCGUGGGGAGCAAACAGGAUUAGAGACCCUGGUAGUCCACGCCGUCAACGAUGAGAACUAGCUGUUGGGAAGUUCCCUUCUUAGUAGCGAAGCUAACGCGUUAAGUUCUCCGCCUGGGGAGUACGGCCGCAAGGUUAAAACUCAAAGAAAUUGACGGGGGCCCGCACAAGCGGUGGAGCAUGUGG